rnacentral:rRNA from 1 species
UGCGUAGGGGGCUAGCGUUGUCCGGAAUCAUUGGGCGUAAAGCGCGUGUAGGCGGUUCGGUAAGUCCGCUGUGAAAGUCGGGGGCUCAACCCUCGGAUGCCGGUGGAUACUGUCGGACUAGAGUACGGAAGAGGCGAGUGGAAUUCCUGGUGUAGCGGUGAAAUGCGCAGAUAUCAGGAGGAACACCGAUUGCGAAGGCAGCUCGCUGGGACGUUACUGACGCUGAGACGCGAAAGCGUGGGGAGCAAACAGG